UUUUAAUUGGCCUGGGGUCACUUUGGCUAGAGAGUUUCUGCCUUUUCUUUAGAUUGUUUUCUGGAGAACAAAGUCACCCUUUAAGCUCUCUUUAAAGAAGUCCCAGGCAGGCCUCUGGCUGUAGUGGGCCCUGGAAGCCUCUGUAACCCUUCCAAAAUUCUCCUUUGUCUUUUGUGGAGAAGAUGGCCAGAAUGGCCAAAGAUUUACUUACUACCCUUGUGAGGCUAUUUAUCUGAACCAGUGGUGAUUUGCAUUAAAAGGAGCUAGUAGAAAUUCCCCUAAGAGGGCACUCUCUAAAUUAUCUCCCUUCCAUCUUUUUAUAAUUUCUAUCCCCUCAGACUUUACCCAUCAACCAACACUGUGCCACCAUGUGAGGUUGUGACAGCUGGGUGACAGGUCACCGUAGAGAAGUGAACGCUGAUUGGGAUGCAGGUGUUAUGCUGGCAGAGAUGGAGACAUCACCAAACAACAAAGACAUCCAAGAGCUCUCUUUUAUUGGAAUGUUCCAGACAUUGCAAAUAAGGAGAGUGAAGGAUGACAGAUCAAUUAGCUGAGAGAUAAAAAAUGAGAAGACUGGGGGGACAUUGGUACUGGAAAAUUUCACUUACCUGAGCAGCCAGGAUCCAGGGGAAGCUGACGUUGAAGAGAGGAUAAAUACAAAGUGUUUCCUGGUGCCUUUACUAAUGUGGCAAUAGAAAGAACAAGCUCAAGAAAUUCAAUCAAAGUUGCAGAUAAUAGCAACUUCCCAUUGCUUUAAAAAGUAAUAAUAACCACAACACACUAUGAGAUAAAGCUCCAGGAGAAACAAUAAAGAGAAGAAAUGCACCUUUGAGAGUUGGGGUUCUAAAUGGCAAUAAUCACUUGCCAAAGAUUAUCGUGUGACUAUUAGCCACAACUAUUCCUCAUCCAGCAAGAGCUGAGGAUCAUAAGGGCAUCAGAGAUUCAUCCUGUGUGAAAGGUGAGAUUGCAAUGCUCAAAUGCUCAUGAGGCCUGAGCCCCAUCACUAAGUUGAAAAGCAUUU
rnacentral:lncRNA from 10 species